ACUCCUACGGGAGGCAGCAGUGGGGAAUAUUGCACAAUGGGCGCAAGCCUGAUGCAGCCAUGCCGCGUGUGUGAAGAAGGCCUUCGGGUUGUAAAGCACUUUCAGUUGUGAGGAAGGUGGUGUCGUUAAUAGCGGCAUCAUUUGACGUUAGCAACAGAAGAAGCACCGGCUAACUCCGUGCCAGCAGCCGCGGUAAUACGGAGGGGUGCGAGCGUUAAUCGGAAUUACUGGGCGUAAAGCGCAUGCAGGUGGUUUGUUAAGUCAGAUGUGAAAGCCCGGGGCGUCAACCUCGGAACUGCAUUUGAAACUGGCAGACUAGAGUACUGUAGAGGGGGUAGGAAUUUCAGGUGUAGCGGU
rnacentral:rRNA from 1 species